rnacentral:rRNA from 1 species
UACAGAGGUCUCAAGCGUUGUUCGGAUUCAUUGGGCGUAAAGGGUGCGUAGGCGGCGCGGUAAGUCGGGUGUGAAAUCUCGGAGCUUAACUCCGAAACUGCAUUCGAUACUGCCGUGCUUGAGGACUGGAGAGGAGACUGGAAUUUACGGUGUAGCGGUGAAAUGCGUAGAUAUCAGGGGGAACACCGGUGGCGAAGGCGGAUCUCUGGGCCAUUACUAACGCUGAGACGCGAAAGCGCGGGGAGCGAACGGG